GAUGAAGAACGCAGCGAAAUGCGAUAAGUAAUGCGAAUUGCAGAAUUUCCGUGAGUCAUCGAAUCUUUGAACGCACAUUGCGCCCGCCAGUAUUCUGGCGGGCAUGCCUGUUCGAGCGUCAUUACAACCCUCAGGCCCCCGGGCCUGGCGUUGGGGAUCGGCGGAAGCCCCCUGCGGGCACAACGCCGUCCCCCAAAUACAGUGGCGGUCCCGCCGCAGCUUCCAUUGCGUAGUAGCUAACACCUCGCAACUGGAGAGCGGCGCGGCCACGCCGUAAAACACCCAACUUCUGAAUGUUGACCUCGAAUCAGGUAGGAAUACCCGCUGAACUUAAGCAUAUCAAUAAGCGGAGGA
rnacentral:misc_RNA from 1 species